rnacentral:rRNA from 1 species
GCAGUCGAGCGAACCUAGUCAGGAGCUUGCUCCUGUUGGUUAGCGGCGGACGGGUGAGUAACACGUGGGCAACCUGCCUGUAAGACUGGGAUAACACCGGGAAACCGGUGCUAAUACCGGAUAAUCCUUUUCCUCUCAUGAGGAAAAGCUGAAAGUCGGUUUCGGCUGACACUUACAGAUGGGCCCGCGGCGCAUUAGCUAGUUGGUGAGGUAACGGCUCACCAAGGCGACGAUGCGUAGCCGACCUGAGAGGGUGAUCGGCCACACUGGGACUGAGACACGGCCCAGACUCCUACGGGAGGCAGCAGUAGGGAAUCUUCCACAAUGGACGAAAGUCUGAUGGAGCAACGCCGCGUGAGCGAUGAAGGCCUUCGGGUCGUAAAGCUCUGUUGUUAGGGAAGAACAAGUACCGGAGUAACUGCCGGUACCUUGACGGUACCUAACCAGAAAGCCACGGCUAACUACGUGCCAGCAGCCGCGGUAAUACGUAGGUGGCAAGCGUUGUCCGGAAUUAUUGGGCGUAAAGCGCGCGCAGGCGGUCCUUUAAGUCUGAUGUGAAAGCCCACGGCUCAACCGUGGAGGGUCAUUGGAAACUGGGGGACUUGAGUGCAGAAGAGGAAAGCGGAAUUCCACGUGUAGCGGUGAAAUGCGUAGAGAUGUGGAGGAACACCAGUGGCGAAGGCGGCUUUCUGGUCUGUAACUGACGCUGAGGCGCG